GCCGCCGAUCCGCCGCCCUGCCGGCGCCGCCGCUCCGGGCGGCGUCUCUCUCCUCCCUCUCGUCUCUCUCUCUCUCCUAUCCCUCUCUCUCUUCUCUUCUCUCUUCACCGUCGCGCCGCCAUCAUUUCCAAAUCUCCCUUUCGUUCAGGUCAGUCGCCGCCGCGGAGGCCGCUGUCACCUCGCGCAGCCCCAGCCACCGUCGUCGAUUCCCGUCAGAUUCUAAAGAACGAAAUUAGUGACGAAUUGUUGGGGCGUGGGCUGUCACCGUCGGCGACGGAGUGCUGAGCUCGCUGCCGGAACCCGGCAGAUUCAUGGAGAUAAGCUUUUCUCCUUCUUUCUAGUUGUUAAGGCUGUAGGAUUCUAUAUUAUUUCUAUUUACUAAAUUUGGUGAAUUUUGAGUAUAUGCCUUGCUAUGUGGGAGAUUUGGGUGACUCAUAUUAAACUUAUUGUAUUGGGGUUGUGAAUUCUAAAUCUGGGCAGAUCCUAUUUCCAAAUACAUAUAUGUAUGCUUGUACAUAUAUAAAUAAAAGGAGAUGUUUGUUGUUUACCUUUUGAAGUGGAAGGUAAAGUGUUGGUUUGUAGUAUUUGAACCCACAAUUGAGUGCCAUCUCCCUCCUCGGACUCCUCUUUUGUGGGGUUAUGUGAGCAGAGAAAUUUGGAUGUUUGAUUGAUUGUAUAUACAUACAUACAUAUACAUCUUGAAACUUAUCUUCCAAGAUAUUCCGUCAGAGGAUAUGGUCUCCUUCCGCCAUGCAAUUAAUAUCGCAGUGAAAAUGAUGACACGCAAACAAAAUCAUCAAUAUACAAAUCCCACAGUGAAAAGGCAAAUACAUAUGACAAAAUAACUACAGUAAAAUUCCAGUCGAUGAGAAAUUUAUUUCAAUUUCUGUCAGACAUCGCUGUGGAAAAAGUGAUAACCUAUAACAAAGUAGCGGCGUUGAACUAGAAGAACCAUUAGCGCAGUCAACAUAAUAAACUGAAAAACAAAAAACAGAGCAAAAGUUGGACCUGCAGUAUACUAAACAAAAACAAGAACUAUUACAUGGUCUAUAUCAUUCUUAUGAAGAAUUUCAAGGCUAUAUCAUUUUACGUUUUUCAUCCUUCUUUCUGCUUCAUUUAUGAUAAUUCAAUACAACAUUUUUCUUUUGAAGCUAUUCCAUUUAUUCUAAACUCUAUUUAGGGUGUUCCUGUUCCAGAAAUGUUAACAGACCUUGUGAUAUGAAAAAAUAUGAAUAGUAACAUAGUGAUCUGAAUUCCAUCUAUGAGCAUGGCACUAACAAAAUAGAUAGGUUUAAAGGCAGAAAAAUAUAAUAAUGGAAGUUAAACAAUGAGUUGGAUUCUACGGUCUUUUUUAACAUACUUGAGGUUUCCCCUAGAAUAUUUGGCACUAUUUUUGUGCAGGUGGCACCUCCUUAAUACUGCGGUAAGCGCGAUGUAUCACAAGCUAGACGUAAUAGAUGGUACAAAAAAUGGGUAUGUUAAUAUAAGCAGUAGUGAUGAUUAGAGCCAUAAUAGAUGGUGACAGCGUGAAACAAGCAUGACCAUUUUAAGCCACCCCCAGUAGUGAAGCAUUUCGGCCAGAGGUUACAGAUUUGUGUGGAAGGAGUUUGUCCCACCAAAGUACUCCUUCACUACUUGGCAAGCUCUCAAAGGACGACUUCCAACGAGGGAUAGACUGGGCUAUAAGAACAUCGAUCAACGCUGCCCCUUGUGCAUGGCGCACACGGAGUCUGUGGACCACCUUUUCUUCAAAUGCCACAAGACUUGGGCAGUUUGGAAGGAGAUCAAAUCUUCGCUGGGAAUGCGAAGGAACAUCACCACCAUACCGAGCGCCAUCAAGUGGAUGAUCAAGGAAAGAAGUGGCGCGGCAAUCAUCCGCAAGGCUAGAAGGCUAGCCCUCAUCGCAAUGGUCAGCCUAAUGUGGAGAGGUAGGAAUGCCUUGAUUUUUGACGGAUCAGCAUUCGAACCCAAGCACUUGGUGUUCGAAGUGAAGAAGGUAACAUAUGCAGUGUUAUACUACCUUUAUCCGCAUGAACAAGUGACCGAGCACUUGGGAGUUUAGCGUUGCUCUCGGCCACGGGGGUACUCUUUUUCCUACUAGGGAUUUUUUCCCAUCGGGUUUAUCUCUAGGAGGUUUUAACGAGGCCCCACCCCUACCUUCAUUGGGGUAACGUGGACGGUAGCAAUGAGUACAAGCACACCUUGAUGGAAAGAAGUACCGACGCAAAUCACGUGGAUCCCAUCUUGAAGACUUUAACCGAAGUGAUGUCUUAUGUUGAUUUUGUUGAUGCAUUGAUAUUAUAUGUUGUUUUUCGGCUUGUGAU